UACGUAGGGUGCAAGCGUUAAUCGGAAUUACUGGGCGUAAAGCGUGCGCAGGCGGUGAUGUAAGACAGUUGUGAAAUCCCCGGGCUCAACCUGGGAACUGCAUCUGUGACUGCAUCGCUGGAGUGCGGCAGAGGGGGAUGGAAUUCCGCGUGUAGCAGUGAAAUGCGUAGAUAUGCGGAGGAACACCGAUGGCGAAGGCAAUCCCCUGGGCCUGCACUGACGCUGAGACUCGAAAGCGUGGGGAGCAAACAGG
rnacentral:rRNA from 1 species